UGCUUCAUGUACAGUGCCUAGACAAGCUUGGCCCCGUGUGACUGCUCCCCAGAUGCCCGCUGGACCUACAGAUCCACACCAAGGCCCACAGAGGCCCUUCGAGGAGCACACCCUCCGCUCCGAUCGGGCCAGAGUGCAAGGAGGCAGGGAUGGGGAGAGGACAAGAGAGGGGCGACCUGUUCCACCUGUCCGAAGACCCGAAGCAGGUUUCCUCGAAGGACACCUUGCAGCUCCUGUUCACUCCAGCCUCGCCUCAGCAACUCCUCGAUGAGCACUGGGCCCAGGCCAUGGAGAGAAGUGUCCUCACCACACUGUCCACCACCACCAUGCCACCGGAGCCAGGCGCUGUGCUCACCAGGG